CCUACGGGAGGCAGCAGUGGGGAAUAUUGGGCAAUGGGCGCAAGCCUGACCCAGCAACGCCGCGUGAGGGAAGAAGGCUUUCGGGUUGUAAACUUCUUUUCUGAGGGACGAAGAGACUGACGGUAACUCAGGAAUAAGAUGACGCUACCUACGUACCAGCAGCCGCGGUAAUACGUAGGGGGCAAGCGUUAGACGGAUUUAGUGGGUGUAUAGGGCGUGUAGGCGGGACAGCAAGUACGAUGUGAAGACUCAGGGCUCAACCCGGGAAAUGCAUUUGAUACUGUUAUACUUGAGUGCGGGAGAGGCAAGCGGAAUUCCAGGUGUAGCAGUGAAAUGCGUAGAUAUACGGAGGAACACCAGUGGCGAAGGCGGAGUGCUGGACAGUAACUGACGCUGAGGCGCGAAAGCGUGGGGAGCAAACAGGAUUAGAUACCCUUGUAGUC
rnacentral:rRNA from 1 species